UAAAGAUUUAUAUAUACAUAAUUUACAUAUACAUUAGGUUUGAAGCAGAGGCAGUUGUUCUAUCUUGUUUGAAAAAAGAUAGAUGGUUAUUUUGGUCAAGUUGUGUUCAUGCAAUGAAAGCUACCUAUAAUAAUUUUUCAAUCAUUGACUCAUUAAAUUUUAAAGUAAUUAUUGCUAUUUUAAUUGUUUUAUAUGAAUAAAAAAACUAUUAUAGCUUUAUUUUAACGGUGACGUAUUAUAUCAAAUAAACUAUUUAGUUUUUAUUUCCGAAAAAGUAAUAUUUUGAAUCUGGUUAUGGUAUUAUUACAGCCUAGAUAUAUAUUGUAAUCUGUUUACACUUAUUCUACUUUUUGUUUUUACAUAAUUUUAUUUAUAUUUAAUUUACUAAAUAAUUACUAACAGAUAAAGCAGUAUGUGCAGGAUUUAAGUUCACAACUAAAGAGAACUUGAAAGAAGAAUUAAAAAUCUGGUGGAUCAAAGAUCGAGGAAUGAUUUGGUUUUAACUGGUUUGCAUCUUAUGAACGAAGUACAUAAUAUAAUUUAAAUUAAUGAUUUAUAGUUACACCUAUUGAAAUUCUGUAUCUCAAUGAUAUCCUGGCUUAUUGAUACGAUAUUCUGUAAAUCCACUCACACACAUAAAUUUUACUCACACACGUAAAUCCUGUAAAUUCACUCACACA